GGCUGGGCUAGAAUGGCGACAGUUUCGGCGCGCAGCCGCCAAGAGCGGCGCGCGGUGCCUGCGGACGCGGGUUCGAUUCCCGCGUCCGGCCA
rnacentral:tRNA from 1 species